UGCAUGGUUGUCGUCAGCUCGUGUCGUGAGAUGUUGGUUAAGUCCCGCAACGAGCGCAACCCUCGACCUUAGUUUGCCAGCAUUCAGUUUGGGCACUCUAAGGUGACUGCGGCUAAAGUCGGAGAAGUGGGGAUGACGUCAAAUCAUCAUGCCCCUUAUGACCUGGGCUACACACGUGCUACAAUGGGCGGUACAAAGGGUCGCGAACCCGCGAGGGGGAGCCAAUCCCAAAAAGCCGCUCUCAGUUCGGAUUGCAGGCUGCAACUCGCCUGCAUGAAGCCGGAAUCGCUAGUAAUCGCGGAUCAGCAUGCCGCGGUGAAUACGUUCCCGGGCCUU
rnacentral:rRNA from 1 species